rfam:Triticum urartu cultivar G1812 contig1218234, whole genome shotgun sequence.
AGGGUGGACGAGGAAGACAUUGUCUCCCACAUCCUCGCCGGACUCGAUGAAGAUUUCGAUCCGGUGGUUUCUGCUAUGUGCUCCACCCGGUCACUGCAGCUGAGCUUUUCUCGCAGCUGCUCAGCUUCGAGA